ACGAACGCUGGCGGCAUGCCUAACACAUGCAAGUCGAACGAGACCUUCGGGUCUAGUGGCGCACGGGUGCGUCACGCGUGGGAACCUGCCCUUAGGUUCGGAAUAACUCCCCGAAAGGGGUGCUAAUACCGGAUAAUGUCUUCGGACCAAAGAUUUAUCGCCUUUGGAUGGGCCCGCGUUGGAUUAGCUAGUUGGUAGGGUAAAAGCCUACCAAGGCGACGAUCCAUAGCUGGUCUGAGAGGAUGAUCAGCCACACUGGGACUGAGACACGGCCCAGACUCCUACGGGAGGCAGCAGUGGGGAAUAUUGGACAAUGGGCGAAAGCCUGAUCCAGCAAUGCCGCGUGAGUGUUGAAGGCCUUAGGGUUGUAAAGCUCUUUUACCCGGGAUGAUAAUGACAGUACCGGGAGAAUAAGCUCCGGCUAACUCCGUG
rnacentral:rRNA from 1 species